rnacentral:rRNA from 1 species
AGUCGAGCGAACAGAUAAGGAGCUUGCUCCUUUGACGUUAGCGGCGGACGGGUGAGUAACACGUGGAUAACCUACCUAUAAGACUGGGAUAACUUCGGGAAACCGGAGCUAAUACCGGAUAACAUAUUGAACCGCAUGGUUCAAUAGUGAAAGGCGGCUUUGCUGUCACUUAUAGAUGGAUCCGCGCCGUAUUAGCUAGUUGGUAAGGUAACGGCUUACCAAGGCAACGAUACGUAGCCGACCUGAGAGGGUGAUCGGCCACACUGGAACUGAGACACGGUCCAGACUCCUACGGGAGGCAGCAGUAGGGAAUCUUCCGCAAUGGGCGAAAGCCUGACGGAGCAACGCCGCGUGAGUGAUGAAGGUCUUCGGAUCGUAAAACUCUGUUAUCAGGGAAGAACAAAUGUGUAAGUAACUGUGCACAUCUUGACGGUACCUGAUCAGAAAGCCACGGCUAACUACGUGCCAGCAGCCGCGGUAAUACGUAGGUGGCAAGCGUAUCCGGAAUUAUUGGGCGUAAAGCGCGCGUAGGCGGUUUUUUAAGUCUGAUGUGAAAGCCACGGCUCAACCGUGGAGGGUCAUUGGAAACUGGAAAACUUGAGUGCAGAAGAGGAAAGUGGAAUUCCAUGUGUAGCGGUGAAAUGCGCAGAGAUAUGGAGGAACACCAGUGGCGAAGGCGACUUUCUGGUCUGUAACUGACGCUGAUGUGCGAAAGCGUGGGGAUCAAACAGGAUUAGAUACCCUGGUAGUCCACGCCGUAAACGAUGAGUGCUAAGUGUUAGGGGGUUUCCGCCCCUUAGUGCUGCAGCUAACGCAUUAAGCACUCCGCCUGGGGAGUACGACCGCAAGGUUGAAACUCAAAGGAAUUGACGGGGACCCGCACAAGCGGUGGAGCAUGUGGUUUAAUUCGAAGCAACGCGAAGAACCUUACCAAAUCUUGACAUCCUUUGACCGCUCUAGAGAUAGAGUCUUCCCCUUCGGGGGACAAAGUGACAGGUGGUGCAUGGUUGUCGUCAGCUCGUGUCGUGAGAUGUUGGGUUAAGUCCCGCAACGAGCGCAACCCUUAAGCUUAGUUGCCAUCAUUAAGUUGGGCACUCUAAGUUGACUGCCGGUGACAAACCGGAGGAAGGUGGGGAUGACGUCAAAUCAUCAUGCCCCUUAUGAUUUGGGCUACACACGUGCUACAAUGGACAAUACAAAGGGCAGCUAAACCGCGAGGUCAAGCAAAUCCCAUAAAGUUGUUCUCAGUUCGGAUUGUAGUCUGCAACUCGACUACAUGAAGCUGGAAUCGCUAGUAAUCGUAGAUCAGCAUGCUACGGUGAAUACGUUCCCGGGUCUUGUACACACCGCCCGUCACACCACGAGAGUUUGUAACACCCGAAGCCGGUGGAGUAACCAUUUAUGGAGCUAGCCGUCGAAG